GUUCUGAUCGUCCUGUCAGCAGCUCUGGCUUUUUGUCUGCUUGUUGUCGUCUUCCUGAUGUUUAUUAUCAAGAGGAAAACUUGUCAAUGCUGCAACGAUGCAGUUACUCCUCAAACAGCCGGCUGUGACCCCCGAGGUCAGCAGAGAGAUGAAGACCUUCUGACUUAUUCUGCACCAACCUUCACCGCCAGGAAAACAGUCCGAGCAGAGAGAGAGAACGCUGAAGCAGCAGCAGAGACCGUCUACGCUGGUGUCAGGACUUAGUGAUACAUUAACAACAUUGUUCUAUUAUUAGACAUAAAGUCAAUUUAGUUGUUGAUUUUCUGCUUCAAAUGUGUUAUUGAUUCAUGUCAUUUUAUUCCUAUUAGUUAGUCUUUUACUUUGAAAACCUUUGAAAACUAGUUUUAUUUUGAUGAGUUGUGAUGAUUUUUGUUGCUUCAUUGUGCAGCUUCUCUUGAUUCUUUUACAAUGAUGUGCUUGAACCUCAGAUAGUCAGAGGUCUGAGGGAUGUUUCCAACUGGGUCUCGUCUGUAACGACGUAAACUUCUGCUGUUUGCAUCGAUGAAAGGUUUCCCUCUUCUCAAAGGGUUUCUCUUUUCUCAUAAGUGUGAAAUCAUGAUUUGAUUAAUUUGAAAAUAACUUUAGUAGCUGAUCUUGUAUAAGACAAACAUUUUGUCUGAUACCACACUGACCUCUGACUACUCUUAAGAGAUUUACAUCAUUUUCAUUCAUUCUUUCAUUUGCUUGUGGAAAAGAAACUAAUUACUGUAUAAUUAGACUAAGCAU